CCUCCUAAUUUUGAAAUUUUUUUUUUAUUUAGAAUGAGCCAUUUUAUUCUCUCCUCUCAACAUACGUCUUUUAUUUCCCCCAUUUAAUUUUUAUUUAGAAUGAACCAUUUUACUCUCUUUCUCUCAACAUACCUCUCUUCAUCUCCCCCAUUCAAUUUUUAUUUAGAAUGAGCCAUUUUACUCUCUCUCUCUCAACAUACGUCUUCUCAUCUCUCCCAUUUUAUUCUCUCUCUCUCAACAUACGUCUCUUCAUCUCUCCCAUUUAAUUUUUAUUUAAAAUGAGCCAUUUUACUCUCUCUCUCUAUCGUUGGGUUCAUAUUUGCUGCCUACAGUGAGAGACUUUUGGUAGAUGUAACAAGUGAGAUACACAAAAAAAUAUUUAAUAUUUUAUUAUUAUUAAUUACUAUUACAGUUUCUAUUCGCUGCGAAGCGCGGGCCUCUUCACUAGUAUAAAAUAAAGAGAUAAAAAUUUAUAUUGUAGA
rnacentral:lncRNA from 1 species